UACGGAGGUGGCAAGCGUUGUUCGGAAUUACUGGGCGUAAAGGGCGCGUAGGCGGCAAGGCAAGUCAGGUGUGAAAGCCCCGAGCUUAACUCGGGAAUUGCAUCUGAAACUGCUGUGCUUGAGUUCUGGAGGGGGUAGUGGAAUUCCCAGUGUAGCGGUGAAAUGCGUAGAUAUUGGGAGGAACACCUGCGGCGAAGGCGGCUACCUGGACAGAAACUGGCGCUGAGGCGCGAAAGCUAGGGGAGCGAACGGG
rnacentral:rRNA from 1 species